AUGGGAUGUUAUAAUGAUUGCCUGACUUGCGACAUUGCUUUCAAUGCGGUUAUGUCUCUAAGUCAUGCCUCGACACGUGGGAGCUAUAGCCGCAUCGAGGGCGUUACAUUCUUGAACUGUACCAGCAUAUUUAUCAAAGAGAAGGCAGAGGUACAACCUCCCCUCGCGGACAAAGAUGUGCCUGUGGUUUUCCUCCCAUGGUACCAGAGAGUUGUGUACUGGUGGUAUUUGAACCAUAAUCAAUGCCUCCAAGUCUUGAACUGGCCUGCCAACCUCAUCAAGCACAAUGAAUCCCUGUUCUACAACGACGCCCAUGAGCACAUUGGGUAA
rnacentral:rRNA from 1 species